rnacentral:rRNA from 1 species
CCUACGGUGGGCAGCAGUGAGGAAUAUUGGUCAAUGGGCGCGAGCCUGAACCAGCCAAGUAGCGUGAAGGAUGACUGCCCUCCGGGUUGUAAACUUCUUUUAUAAAGGAAUAAAGUGAGGCACGUGUGCCUUUUUGUCUGUACUUUAUGAAUAAGAAUCGGCUAACUCCGUGACAGCAGCAGCGGUAAUACGUAGGAUCCGCGCGUUAUCCGGAUUUUUUGGGUUUAAAGGGAGAGUAGAUGGGUUGUUAAGUCAGUUGUGAAAGUUUGCGGCUCAACCGUAAAAUUGCAAUUGAUACUGGCAGCCUUGAGUACAGUUGAGGUAGGCGGAAUUCGUGGUGUAGCGGUGAAAUGCUUAGAUAUCACGAAGAACUCCGAUAGCGAAGGCAGCCUACGAAACUGCCACUGACAUUGAGGCUCGAAAGUGGGGGUAUCAAACAGGAUUAGAUACCCGUGUAGUC